rnacentral:rRNA from 1 species
AGAGUUUGAUCAUGGCUCAGAAUCAACGCUGGCGGCGUGCCUAACACAUGCAAGUCGAACGAGAAAGUGGAGCAAUCCAUGAGUAAAGUGGCGCACGGGUGAGUAACACGUGACUAACCUACCCUUGAGCGGGGGAUAACCUAGGGAAACCUGGGCUAAUACCGCAUAAUACCUACGGGUCAAAGCAGCUAUGCACUUAAGGAGGGGGUCGCGGCAGAUUAGCUAGUUGGUGAGGUAAUGGCUCACCAAGGCGAUGAUCUGUAUCCGGCCUGAGAGGGCGCACGGACACACUGGAACUGAAACACGGUCCAGACUCCUACGGGAGGCAGCAGUGGGGAAUUUUGCGCAAUGGGGGAAACCCUGACGCAGCAACGCCGCGUGGAGGAUGAAAUCCCUUGGGAUGUAAACUCCUUUCGAUCGGGACGAUUAUGACGGUACCGGAAGAAGAAGCCCCGGCUAACUUCGUGCCAGCAGCCGCGGUAAUACGAGGGGGGCAAGCGUUGUUCGGAAUUAUUGGGCGUAAAGGGUGCGUAGGCGGUUUGAUAAGUCUGAUGUGAAAUCUAUGGGCUCAACCCAUAGUCUGCAUCGGAAACUGUCAGGCUUGAGAAUGGGAGAGGUGAGUGGAAUUUCCGGUGUAGCGGUGAAAUGCGUAGAUAUCGGAAGGAACACCUGUGGCGAAAGCGGCUCACUGGACCAUUUCUGACGCUGAUGCACGAAAGCUAGGGGAGCAAACAGGAUUAGAUACCCCAGUAGUCC